rnacentral:rRNA from 1 species
GAUGAACGCUGGCGGCGUGCCUAAUACAUGCAAGUCGAGCGAACAGAUGAGGAGCUUGCUCCUCUGACGUUAGCGGCGGACGGGUGAGUAACACGUGGAUAACCUACCUAUAAGACUGGGAUAACUUCGGGAAACCGGAGCUAAUACCGGAUAAUAUAUUGAACCGCAUGGUUCAAUAGUGAAAGACGGUUUUGCUGUCACUUAUAGAUGGAUCCGCGCCGCAUUAGCUAGUUGGUAAGGUAACGGCUUACCAAGGCAACGAUGCGUAGCCGACCUGAGAGGGUGAUCGGCCACACUGGAACUGAGACACGGUCCAGACUCCUACGGGAGGCAGCAAUAGGGAAUCUUCCGCAAUGGGCGAAAGCCUGACGGAGCAACGCCGCGUGAGUGAUGAAGGUCUUCGGAUCGUAAAACUCUGUUAUUAGGGAAGAACAAAUGUGUAAGUAACUAUGCACGUCUGGACGGUACCUAAUCAGAAAGCCACGGCGAACUACGU